ACCCCUGGCAAUGGGCAAAGUGACACCUUGCUAGUGAUAGUAUUCUUGUAUCAGUCUCGGGCAGCAGAUGGUAGUCCUUUUUUCAUCCUUGCUUAGUGCUGGGCUUAGUUGCCAAAGCUGUUUCAUGCUUAGGGUACAUAA